AUUGAAUCGCUGGCGGCAGGCCUAACACAUGCAAGUCGAGCGGUAGCAUUUCUAGCUUGCUAGAAGAUGACGAGCGGCGGACGGGUGAGUACAACUUGGGAAUCUGCCUGAUGGAGGGGGACAACCACUGGAAACGGUGGCUAAUACCGCAUAAUCUCUACGGAGCAAAGAGGGGGAUCUUCGGACCUCUCGCCAUCAGAUGAGCCCAAGCAAGAUUAGGUAGUUGGUGGGGUAAAGGCCUACCAAGCCGACGAUCUUUAGCUGGUCUGAGAGGAUGAUCAGCCACACUGGGACUGAGACACGGCCCAGACUCCUACGGGAGGCAGCAGUGGGGAAUAUUGGACAAUGGGGGCAACCCUGAUCCAGCCAUGCCGCGUGUGUGAAGAAGGCCUUCGGGUUGUAAAGCACUUUCAGUGGUGAGGAAGGCUUGCAAAUUAACACUUUGCAAGAUUGACGUUAGCCACAGAAGAAGCACCGGCUAACUCCGUGCCAGCAGCCGCGGUAAUACGGAGGGUGCGAGCGUUAAUCGGAAUUACUGGGCGUAAAGCGCACGUAGGCGGUUUGUUAAGCAAGAUGUGAAAGCCCCGGGCUCAACCUGGGAAUAGCAUUUUGAACUGGCAAGCUAGAGUUUUGAAGAGGGUGGUAGAAUUUCCUGUGUAGCGGUGAAAUGCGUAGAUAUAGGAAGGAAUACCAGUGGCGAAGGCGGCCACCUGGUCAAAAACUGACGCUGAGGAGCGAAAGCGUGGGGAGCAAACAGGAUUAGAUACCCUGGUAGUCCACGCUGUAAACGAUGUCAACUAGUUGUUCGUUUCAUAAAUGAAGUGAGUAACGCAGCUAACGCACUAAGUGACCGCCU
rnacentral:rRNA from 1 species